CUACGGGUCGCAGCAGUGAGGAAUAUUGCACAAUGGGGGGAACCCUGAUGCAGCAACGCCGCGUGGAGGAUGACGCAUUUCGGUGUGUAAACUCCUUUUAUAUGUCAAGAAAGUGACGGUAGCAUAUGAAUAAGCACCGGCUAACUCCGUGCCAGCAGCCGCGGUAAUACGGAGGGUGCAAGCGUUACUCGGAAUCACUGGGCGUAAAGGACGCGUAGGCGGGUUGGAAAGUCAGGUGUGAAAUCCUACAGCUUAACUGUAGAACUGCACUUGAAACUUCUAAUCUAGAGUAUGGGAGGGGGAGAUGGAAUUAGUGGUGUAGGGGUAAAAUCCGUAGAUAUCACUAGGAAUACCUAAAGCGAAGGCGAUCUCCUGGAACAUUACUGACACUAAGGCGUGAAAGCGUGGGGAGCAAACAGGAUUAGAUACCCCGGUAGUC
rnacentral:rRNA from 1 species